rnacentral:lncRNA from 1 species
UACAUAGUUAUGUUUCAGUGAUAUAUUGGGGGGGACAAAUCAUAUGUUUCCCAGGAUGGGGGGGGUCGUGUCCCCCCCGUUCCCCCCGGGAUUUCCGCCCCUGCAUGCAUGUAUUCAAAAAUAGUAGCUAGCUAAUGUUAGCUAGCCCAUCUGUAGCCCCCAACUACCUAGCUAACUAGCUAGUUCGCUAGCUAAGUUCCAGUUAUUGUUCAGUUAUUUUUCAGCUAUGUUGUUUGAACACCGAAUGACAACAAGCUGCCUGACAUUGGGUGCGGUAGCUAGCUAGCUAGAUAUCCAUGCCUUGCCGUUGCAUUGGCUAUCUUGCCAGCAUAGAUGGAUGCAUGCAGAUGUCAGUCAUGUAACGUUAGCAAGAAAAGACAACCCUUGUUUUCAAUUAAUAAGAUGGCUUGGUAGCUACCUCAGCACAGAAAUAUUUCCUUACCCGAUGCCGAUGAUGGUUCCAUAGUCUGCCAUACGCAGCAGCUGUCCACUCCACUCCGGAGGUAUGUGAGGAGGGGGAGCAGAGGUUGGCGCUCUACAGUUACAGGCAGUUACACACAGACCGCACAUAGAGGAACUUGGUGCAACACGACACAAAUAAAAGCAGAUCUCCUUAGGCAACUGUGGGAAGGGAAGGUCUGAGUCGAACCCAGAGCACGCGGGCUCGUACCAUAACGUGAUUAGGAUGAGGGCUGUCAACUUGGCUGGAGGCAUGUUGAGUGUCAGAACAAAACCAUGCUUUGCUGCAGCUCCCGCUGUGAAAGAGACAGAUUUAUUCCUCUCUACAACAGGCUUCAUUCAGUAGGCCAAUGCGUCCCCAGCCACCUUCCACAGUAAUCACUCAGGGAAUUCUCUGUUUAGAUGUUACACUCUUUUCUGCUGUCCUUGUAUUAAUCCCAUUUUCUUCAUUCCUGUUGUCUGUUUUAUACAUCUCAAGCCUGUUUCUGUCAUGGCAAGCAUUGUUCUGUCAUGGGUGUCCUCAUCUUCUGUACAAAUAGCAUAAUACUAUUUUAGAAUGUUUGGUCAGUCUUUUUUGUAGAUAUCCUCAAAAAACUAUUAUUC